rnacentral:rRNA from 1 species
GACGAACGCUGGCGGCGUGCUUAACACAUGCAAGUCGAACGGAAAGGCCCUGCUUUUGUGGGGUGCUCGAGUGGCGAACGGGUGAGUAACACGUGAGUAACCUGCCCUUGACUUUGGGAUAACUUCAGGAAACUGGGGCUAAUACCGGAUAGGAGCUCCUGCUGCAUGGUGGGGGUUGGAGAGUUUCGGCGGUUGGGGAUGGACUCGCCGCUUAUCAGCUUGGUGGUGGGGUAGUGGCUUACCAAGGCUUUGACGGGUAGCCGGCCUGAGAGGGUGACCGGCCACAUUGGGACUGAGAUACGGCCCAGACUCCUACGGGAGGCAGGAGGGGGGAAUAGUGCACUAUGGGCGGAAGUCUGAUGCAGCAACGCCGCGUGCGGUAUGAGGGCCUUGGGGGUGUAAACCGCUUUCGCCUGUGACGAAGCGUGAGUGACGGUAAUGGGUAAAGAAGCACCGGCUAACUACGUG